UUCUCUCAUUCUCUUUUUCCUUCACUCAUAUCCUCUCUUUCAUCCUCUCUCAUCCUUGUAAUCGAGAACAUUGCUUCAAUCUCCUUUUAAGUACAAUGCCUCCGAAGAAGAUAAUUGACAAAGGCAAAGGAAUUCCCUUGGAACCAAUCUCAGAAAAACCCGAACCAAAAAAUACUCACCCAAAAACCGAACCUUGGAUUACAGUUACAAAAAAGAGUGCUAAAAAAGAAGAAAUAUCAGCCACCCCAAAAUCUCUUCAAACACCAGAAGCCAUCAUGAACCAAAUGUUACAAUUACAAAAAGCUUUCGAGCUCAGUUUUACGAAACAAGAGUCCGGAGAAUCUUCCAAAAACUUUCCUUCUCAAGCUAUUUCAAAAUCUAACGAGGUCCCUUCAAAAAUGAUUUCAAGAGAAAACCAGACCUCUAAAAUUAUUUCAAAACCUUCAAAUAAUUCCCAGAUUAUUUUGAAGGAGAUUUCCCAAAACAUUCCCUCUGAAUAUUUCGAAAAACAUACCUACCAAAAUAUUAUAAAUAUUGAAAAAGGAUUUUUUGUAAACAAUGAUCCAUUUUUAACGCUGGAAAAAUAUUUUGGGAAAAAUAAUUUCUUCAAACCUCAUAAUACAGAUAAAACUGUGUUAUUCUUUCAAACCAUUUUGGAAAUUACGGAUUCAGUGUCCUUCAAACACUUUUAUCUAAACGAAAAUCACACUGAUGCCGCUUAUUCCACCUUCAAAAUCCAUAAAAUCAUUGCACCAAGUGAUUGGGAAUAUGGUCUUAACGAGAAUCUGAACUUUCCAGAAGAUCUUAGAAAUCUCCCUUGUUACAAUGUUCCUUUUAACUACUGGGAUUAUUGUCAGGCAUGGUACAAUUCCUUUUUGAUCCAAUCUCCUAGACACAAACACACGUGGUUGAUCUUCUUUGACACCACUUGUAACUUAUCCAAAUCUCCCUAUUGGUUCAUGCCAUGGUGGAACUACUUUGGUUCUGUCACAGAAAUAUUUAAACCCAAUAUCCAAAAAUCAUUCCAGAUCUUCAAGACAAAUUUCAUUCCGUCUGAAGAAGAAAAGAAAUUUCCACCAUUAGCCCUUUUUCACUCUAAAUUUCAUUUUCCCUGGGUAUUUUCAUGGACCCUUGAAUUUACUUCCGACCCAAUCCCUAUUAUCCAAAGAAAAUUCAGAGCCAAGUGGUGGGAUAAAUAUAAAAUUCCCUCGAAUCUUUAUCCAUCAAAUAUCCUUACCUGGAUAAAGGAACAAAACUCGAAAAUCCAAACACUUAACCAAACACCAAACCAAACACCAGAAACAACCAUUUUCCUGGCUCAAAAAUCCAAAAUGUUAGCCAUGUUGGCAGGUGCAAAAUCUGAAGAAGAAAUUAAGGCGAUCUCCUUACAAUUUCUACCGUCAAUGUCCGAUCAAGUCUCUCAUACUACAGGAAGCGAUUCAGGAUCUCAAGUGCCGGAUAUCGAUGAAGAAAUAUUCGGCAACAGUGGUGACUAAUCUCUCUCCUCAAGAAAUACAAAUCUCCUCAAAAGCAAGAAAAAUCUUUGUUACGAAUCUGUCAGAUACGAUUACAUUGUUAUGAAUAUUCUCUAUGAUCUCUUGUCGGAAUACCCGAGAAAAAUCCAAAACAUUAAUAAGUGCUAUGUCCUGUAGCCAUGAAGACCAAGGUCCACUUCCAGCAGACAGCAAUCAAUUAUGGAACGUAAUGGAGCUAGCUUUUGCUAGUGAUAUUAUCCAUAUAUGCCACUUUUAUUUUUAAAUUUAAAUUUUUAUGUAUAACUGCACCCUUGUAAACUCCUAUAUAAAGGAGUCUUUGCUUCAGUUGUAGAGCAGGUUCUCAUUCUCUCAUUCUCUUUUUCCUUCACUCAUAUCCUCUCUUUCAUCCUCUCUCAUCCUUGUAAUCGAGAACAUUGCUUCAAUCUCCUUUUAAUUUAACACAAAAUGCUAUUUCCGAUUCUUUACCUAAGUCUGGAGAACUUUCAUAGGGAUCUUUGUUCCAAUCGGAGCAGUCUACAAUACCCUAAACUCAACAGAACAUAGGAUCAACACUCAAGAUUUAGCUGAGAGUGUGAGAGUAAUGGUGUGCCACAUUCCAGUGAGAGUGUGAGUGAGGACGUUGAAGAACUGAUCAGAAAGGGAUAGAGAAGAUGAAAAGAGCUAGAAAAGAUGAAACACAUGGUUUCGAACCUUAUCCACUAUUCGAGCUUUAACUCUAUGCACUGUCCUCUUUCCCUUGUAGCUUUUUAAUCAUUCUUAAAGUUUUCAAGCUUUGUUCAAUGUUUGCCUUUUUCAGUUUCAAGCUCUCUGCAAAUGUGCUAAGACAUCUAUAUAUAUAUUUCAAUCACAAUUGCGAUCAAGAUGUGCUCACUCAUCAUUGUUACAUGGUUUUUCAAAACAAAGACUCACUUGACUUGAGAGUUAACAAUAUCUAAUACUCAUUUAACUUUAUGGUAAGCACCAUUUAUAUAAAACACUUACCAAUUUACACCAGCAUCAAUUGUCACACACACACACACACA